GGCGCAGUGGCAGAGUGGUCUAAUGCGAUAGACUAGAAUGUUCGAUAGAUCUUCUAAAGACUAUAAUCUAUUCCCUUCGGGGGCAACGGUUCGAAUCCGUUCUGCGUCG
rfam:Pseudomassariella vexata strain CBS 129021 BCR38scaffold_15, whole genome shotgun sequence.